rnacentral:rRNA from 1 species
CAGCAGCCACGGGAAAACCAGCACCUCGAGUGGUCAGGAGGUUUAUUGGGCCUAAAGCAUCCGUAGCCGGUUGCAUAAGUUUUCGGUUAAAUCUAUGCGCUUAACGUAUAGGCCGCCGAAAAUACUGUGCAGCUAGGGAGUGGGAGAGGUACACGGUACUCGAUAGGAAGGGGUAAAAUCCUUUGAUCUAUUGAUGACCACCUGUGGCGAAGGCGGUGUACCAGAACACGUUCGACGGUGAGGGAUGAAAGCUGGGGGAGCAAACCGGAUUAGAUACCCGCGUAGUCCCUGUCUCUUAUAA